UUGGAGGGCAAGUCUGGUGCCAGCAGCCGCGGUAAUUCCAGCUCCAAUAGCGUAUAUUAAAGUUGUUGCAGUUAAAAAGCUCGUAGUUGAAUUUCGGGAUUAGUACGUCGGUCGUGCCUUAGGUACGUACUGGUGUUACUGGUUCCUACCUUCUGACGAACCAUCAUGUCAUUAAUUUGGUGUGGUGGGGAAUCAGGACUGUUACUUUGAAAAAAUUAGAGUGUUUAAAGCAGGCUCGCGCUUGAAUACAUUAGCAUGGAAUAAUGAAAUAGGACGUUGAUCCUAUUUUGUUGGUUUCUAGGAUUGACGUAAUGAUUAAUAGGGAUAGUUGGGGGCAUUAGUAUCCAAUUGUCAGAGGUGAAAUUCUUGGAUUUAUUGAAGACUAACUACUGCGAAAGCAUUUGCCAAGGAUGUUUUCAUUAAUCAAGAACGAAAGUUAGGGGAUCGAAGACGAUCAGAUACCGUCGUAGUCUUAACCAUAAACUAUGCCGACUAGGGAUCGGAUGAUGUUAUUUUUAAUGACUCAUUCGGCACCUUACGGGAAAC
rnacentral:rRNA from 1 species